GACGAACGCUGGCGGCGUGCUUAACACAUGCAAGUCGAACGAUGAAGCUGGAGCUUGCUCCGGUGGAUUAGUGGCGAACGGGUGAGUAACACGUGAGCAAUCUGCCCUUGACUCUGGGAUAACUGCGGGAAACUGUAGCUAAUACCGGAUACGACACCUUGGGGCAUCCCAGGGUGUGGAAAGAAUUUCGGUCAAGGAUGAGCUCGCGGCCUAUCAGCUAGUUGGUGAGGUAAUGGCUCACCAAGGCGACGACGGGUAGCCGGCCUGAGAGGGUGACCGGCCACACUGGAACUGAGACACGGUCCAGACUCCUACGGGAGGCAGCAGUGGGGAAUAUUGCACAAUGGGCGAAAGCCUGAUGCAGCAACGCCGCGUGAGGGAUGAAGGCCUUCGGGUUGUAAACCUCUUUUAGCAGGGAAGAAGCGAAAGUGACGGUACCUGCAGAAAAAGCACCGGCUAACUACGUGCCAGCAGCCGCGGUAAUACGUAGGGUGCAAGCGUUGUCCGGAAUUAUUGGGCGUAAAGAGCUCGUAGGCGGUUUGUCGCGUCUGCUGUGAAAAUCCGAGGCUCAACCUCGGACCUGCAGUGGGUACGGGCAAACUAGAGUGCGGUAGGGGAGAUGGGAAUUCCUGGUGUAGCGGUGGAAUGCGCAGAUAUCAGGAGGAACACCGAUGGCGAAGGCACAUCUCUGGGCCGUAACUGACGCUGAGGAGCGAAAGCGUGGGGAGCGAACAGGAUUAGAUACCCUGGUAGUCCACGCCGUAAACGGUGGGUGCUAGUUGUGGGCUCCAUUCCACGGAGUCCGUGACGAAGUUAACACAUUAAGCACCCCGCCUGGGGAGUACGGUCGCAAGACUA
rnacentral:rRNA from 1 species